UACAGAGGUCUCAAGCGUUUGUUCGGAUUCAUUGGGCGUAAAGGGUGCGUAGGCGGCGCGGUAAGUCGGGUGUGAAAUCUCGGAGCUUAACUCCGAAACUGCAUUCGAUACUGCCGUGCUUGAGGACUGGAGAGGAGACUGGAAUUUACGGUGUAGCGGUGAAAUGCGUAGAUAUCGUAAGGAAGACCAGUGGCGAAGGCGGGUCUCUGGACAGUUCCUGACGCUGAGGCACGAAGGCCCAGGGGGAGCAAAACGGGG
rnacentral:rRNA from 1 species